GUUGAGGAUCAGCAUUCUUGUGCAUCAUUUGCGAAGUAAGUCUCCUGUGUCCCUCUAUCUUGAUGCCACUGGUGGUGUAGUGUCAAAAAUUCCAGAACAGCCAAAACUGGUGUUGUAAUAUGCGCUCACUCUUCCAGGAAAUGCAGGUCGAGAUGCACCACCACUGCUUAUUUGUGAGAUGCUCUCCAAUGACCAAUGAAGCACUCAGUACCACCAAUCACAUUUUGACUCAUGCAAUUCACUUUGCAUUUAUCAAAGUACACCCAAAUAAAAAUUCACCAGGUCGAAACUGAUUAUAGCUGGGCUUUAAUACAAAGUGUGAUGCUCGCUUUCAACAAAGAGCACAUCAGCACUUACCUCAACAGAGCAUAUGACUUCUGCAUGAACAAAAAAAUCAGUGGAUGAAAUGAAGUCAUAUAUUGUACUACACAUUUGCUCUGCUCACAUCCUGAAAGCUGUCAGACAGGCAAUCUGUAGGCAAACAGAUGACAAAGGACUGAGAUACUUUGCCACAUCUGCUUUUGCAAGACUUCAAAAUGCCAGCAACAUGACUUAAUAAAGAAAGGUGUUCCGUGCAUUAUGUGCCUUGCUCACAACCCAACAAAACACAGACCUCGUCAAAGAAAGUCUGCGUAUUUUGGAGAGUGUCAUUUCAAGAUCCAAAGAGGAGCCACUGGAAGAAAUUCCCCAAUCUGAAGACUAGGAAAUGUGUGAAAGUGAAGACAGAACACAUGCAACGACCAUCAGUGGCAAAUCACCAUUCUAUGCCUUUUUUCAGCAGAUUAUGAAAGAGGUGAAGGAAGAAAUGGUUGAUGAUGACACAGGGUUGGCAACAGAAGACAACCCAUACUUUUGUCCAGGCAUCCUCACAGUCCUCUUUGGUAUACCUUGCUAUCUUUCCUCUUUGGAGUGUUGGGAGACCUGAUGGAUGAAUGUCAUGAACAGUACAUGGAGACAACAAAGAAACAACCAAAAACAAGAGAUGCCAACUGUCACAUUGAAAGGUGGUUUGGAAUUGUCAAACAUUCCAUAAUGCAUAAAGAAAAAAAGUCAAACCAGGGACCUUCAUAAGAAAAAUGCACAAGUCUCUACAAGCGAGGUAUACAGAGCAUAUCAUCAAGCAUGAACUUCCUCAAAAGCUUUUGCGGCAACCUGAGGCACCUUUGAACCUUGAUCAGUCUCAAGAAACUUGGAAGAAGGAAGAACGUUUCCCAUCCACCAAAUCCAAAUUCUUUUCUGUUCCACAUAAAAUACCUGCUCCCCAAAAAGAGGAUCAAGAAGGAUGUGGAAGUGGAAACUUCAAGUUCUGAAGCAUGUCAGCCUCCUGCAGAUGGACUCCAUGUAGAUGAACAGAUCCAGAUGCUAUUGAAGAAGAAGGAACAUACAGAGCUGCUAGUAGCCAUUGUUCAGUCUCCUAGCCAGGAUCUUGAGUUCCUUUUACAUCACAAGGUAUUCAAUGCACUGAGGCCACAUGAAUGGUUAUUUGGAGAGACUAUUGAGUGCUAUUUCAGAACUGUACUUAAUAAGGAGGAUGCAAAUCUCUACCAGCUAAGCCAUUACACCACAGGUGUCAUUUUAAAUGGCACAAGAGAGCAGAUGGAACAGCAAGGAUUUUGAAAAGUCAACUUAGAGCAAUAUGAUGGGGUCAUCACUUUUGUCAAUAUCACUAAAAAUCACUGGAGGUUUGUGGUAAGUAAAAGAGUGCUAAUUUCAAUGAUAAGCUACUACAUAUGCCCAUUUAGACAUGUUUGAUCUUUCAUUGACAUUUAUUUGCUAAUUUAUUUGUUUCUUUUUAUCCAAUUUAGUUUGUAUAUGCUCAGACUGACACCCUUUUCGUGCUUGACUUUCUGACUGGUACAAAUGAAAUGAAACUAAAAGGCAUGCCAAAAAUUCGGGUAUGAUAGUCUGUUUUAAAAAAAGAUAUUUAGCAUGUGUAGAUCCAAAACAGUAAUACUUUUUUUACUAGCAAGCGCAUACCCUUUCUGCUCUUUGUUCAUGUAUGAUUAUAUUUGUGGAGUGAGACAUGCUUAUAUUAUGCUGUAUUAUAAUCAAUUUUACUAUAAUAAAAUCUUCUUCAAAGGCAACUAUACAUUAGUGCUUUACUUUCUUAUUAUUUUGAACAUUAUUUUGUUUGUUUUUAUAAAAAAAAUCAUAAUCAUUUAUAGUCAUGUAUGUAGUUGUCAUUGAUUUAUCAUUAUUAUGGUAGUACUUUAAAACAUAAAUAAUUCACAGAAACAAAACAUAAAUGACUGGUUAAUCAAACAUACUCAAACAUACUCAUAGUGUUUAAUAUAGUAAUAUUUACUGUAAAAGUGUAGUUUGUACCCUUAAUGUGUAGUAAAGCUAUUUUGUAUUGACACACUAUUAAAAUUAAUAUCUUUGGAAAAAAGCAUCAUAUCAGUGUAAAAGACAUUUACAAAUAUUUAUCUCAAUUUAAAGAACAUAAUCAUGGUGUUUAAUGUACA